rnacentral:ncRNA from 1 species
UAAGGCAUAGGAGUGUCAUCAUGUUUAAAGCAAUGUUUUUCUUCAGUGCAGGUGCGAUGUUUGGCUAUUGUUAUAAGCAUUAUGAUGAAAAAGUUAUAGAGACUAAUAAAUCUAAAUAGCUCCUAAAAAACCGUCUAAAUGGCGGUUUUUUAA